CUAGUUAGUUAGCGGUGGUGCGCGCUAAUAGCGUUUCAAUCUGGUGACGUCACUCGCUCUGAGACCUGAAGUAGUUGUUCCCCUUGCUCUGCAAGGGCCGUGGCUUUUGUGGAGCGAUGGGUAACGAUACUCGAGGGUGGCUGUUGUCGAUGUGUGCAGAGGGUCCCUGGUUCGAGCACAGAUGAGCAAAGGAGGAUAAAUGAGAACAGCAGGCCACUGGAGCACUUAGAACAGGAGCAGCCAGAGGUAGGGAAGAGGAUGAUUUAGGUCACCAAAACACAGGCCCGAAACAAGUUAAGCUACCCCAGUAUCUCCUUGACCGUUUUGGAUUGCACAGCUAAAGAGACACGUGAGACAAGACACAGAGACAACAACAGAAAAAUAGAUGAUGGAGAGAGACACCAGACGAGACACAGAGGCAGCAACAGAAGAGAAGCAUAGAGACACACCAGACAAGACACAGAGACAGCAACUGAAGAAUAGGCGAUUGAGAGAGAAACCAGAAGAGACAUAGAGACAGCAACAGAAGAAUAUGAUAUGAUGGAGAGAGACACCAGAAGAACAGAACAGGCCAUAACAGAAGAGGAUAGACAAAGGAGACAGUAACAAACAAGACACUGAGACAGCAACAGGCAAAACACAGAGAAAGUGACAGAAGAAUGCAGAUGGAGAGAGAACAGAGGUGGGUUAAGCACACAGUAGUCUGUAUCACUUCAAGCUGCUCUAUAGAUUCUAAUGAGUUGGAUUUAUUUGCACAAAUUAUAAGAGGUGAAAUACAGACCGUGAAAAAGUAAAACAUGGUUUACAAAGAAUUUGCUGGUGAGGUGAAAAAGCCUGUGAAAUUACUAUUAAAACAAUUGUUUACUUUUACACAUUUUACAACCGGGGGGGACGAGAGAGGAAAGUAAACAAGAGACAGCAACAUAGAAUACUAAGAGACAGCAACAGAUCAGGGCAGACGAGAGACAGCAACAGACGACCCAGAGAAAGCUAUAGAAAGAGACAGAGGAAGGAUGAGUAUUCACGUACCUGCUGCGCCUUGGUCCAUUUCUACAGAAGACAACCGUUACAGAACCACCCACCAAAGGACCAAGCAGCAGAAGAGGAGGAAGCCACAUGAGAGAAAAAAGGGAACAAUGGACAUGGGAGGACGUCCUGGACGGCAAGGGAGCCUACACCUGGGAAGAGAUCCUGGCCGGAAGGGAUCGCCUCCCAUGGGAACAGGUGGAGGCACUCAGGAGAGUGGAGGCAGCUGGACAGAGGAACCAUCGGG
rnacentral:lncRNA from 1 species